CUUUGAAUUAUUUAACGCUGAUAACAUUCUAAAGGCACAGAUGAGGUAUUAAAAGAGUGAAGUAGGCACAGAUGAGGUAUUAAAAGAGUGAAGUAGGCACAGAUGAGGUAUUAAAAGAGUGAAGUAGGCACAGAUGAGGUAUUAAAAGAGUGAAGUAGGCACAGAUGAGGUAUUAAAAGAGUGAAGUAGGCACAGAUGAGGUAUUAAAAGAGUGAAGUAGGCACAGAUGAGGUAUUAAAAGAGUGAAGUAGGCACAGAUGAGGUAUUAAAAGAGUGAAGUAGGCACAGAUGAGGUAUUAAAAGAGUGAAGUAGGCACAGAUGAGGUAUUAAAAGAGUGAAGUAGGCACAGAUGAGGUAUUAAAAGAGUGAAGUAGGCACAGAUGAGGUAUUAAAAGAGUGAAGUAGGCACAGAUGAGGUAUUAAAAGAGUGAAGUAGGCACAGAUGAGGUAUUAAAAGAGUGAAGUAGGCACAGAUGAGGUAUUAAAAGAGUGAAGUAGGCACAGAUGAGGUAUUAAAAGAGUGAAGUAGGCACAGAUGAGGUAUUAAAAGAGUGAAGUAGGCACAGAUGAGGUAUUAAAAGAGUGAAGUAGGCACAGAUGAGGUAUUAAAAGAGUGAAGUAGGCACAGAUGAGGUAUUAAAAGAGUGAAGUAGGCACAGCUACAGGUCUUUUUAAACGCAAAAUGUAUGCCUGGCCUGUCACUUUACUUUAUCAUUG